CAGCGCCAGCAGCUGCGUGCCCGUGCUGUUGAAGCGGACGCUCAUGGCGCUCUGCAGGGACAUGCUGCCGCCGUAACGCAGCAGCGAGCUGGGAGGAAGCCAGCAGAACACAGACGAGCUCACGGAGAUCGGAUCCGAAGCGUCUCCUUCCGGAUCGAUGCGGACGGUUUUAUGAAAUAUGCAGAACGAAAAGGGAAAAAAUGCAUCUGUGUGAAGGAAACUCCACUUUAAGGAAGUCCUAAAAAUGAAUCUAUUUACAGCAAUUUAAGAAGAAAUAAACAUUUUUUCUGCUUUAAAGA